CGAUGAUCAGGAGCUUGCUUCUGUGAUUAGUGGCGAACGGGUGAGUAACACGUGAGUAACCUGCCCCUGACUCUGGGAUAAGCGUUGGAAACGACGUCUAAUACUGGAUAUGACUUCCGGCCGCAUGGUCUGGUUGUGGAAAGAUUUUUUGGUUGGGGAUGGACUCGCGGCCUAUCAGCUUGUUGGUGAGGUAAUGGCUCACCAAGGCGACGACGGGUAGCCGGCCUGAGAGGGUGACCGGCCACACUGGGACUGAGACACGGCCCAGACUCCUACGGGAGGCAGCAGUGGGGAAUAUUGCACAAUGGGCGAAAGCCUGAUGCAGCAACGCCGCGUGAGGGAUGACGGCCUUCGGGUUGUAAACCUCUUUUAGUAGGGAAGAAGCGAAAGUGACGGUACCUGCAGAAAAAGCACCGGCUAACUACGUGCCAGCAGCCGCGGUAAUACGUAGGGUGCAAGCGUUGUCCGGAAUUAUUGGGCGUAAAGAGCUCGUAGGCGGUUUGUCGCGUCUGCUGUGAAAUCCCGAGGCUCAACCUCGGGCUUGCAGUGGGUACGGGCAGACUAGAGUGCGGUAGGGGAGAUUGGAAUUCCUGGUGUAGCGGUGGAAUGCGCAGAUAUCAGGAGGAACACCGAUGGCGAAGGCAGAUCUCUGGGCCGUAACUGACGCUGAGGAGCGAAAGCAUGGGGAGCGAACAGGAUUAGAUACCCUGGUAGUCCAUGCCGUAAACGUUGGGCGCUAGAUGUAGGGACCUUUCCACGGUUUCUGUGUCGUAGCUAACGCAUUAAGCGCCCCGCCUGGGGAGUACGGCCGCAAGGCUAAAACUCAAAGGAAUUGACGGGGGCCCGCACAAGCGGCGGAGCAUGCGGAUUAAUUCGAUGCAACGCGAAGAACCUUACCAAGGCUUGACAUACACCGGAAACGGCCAGAGAUGGUCGCCCCCUUGUGGUCGGUGUACAGGUGGUGCAUGGUUGUCGUCAGCUCGUGUCGUGAGAUGUUGGGUUAAGUCCCGCAACGAGCGCAACCCUCGUUCUAUGUUGCCAGCGGGUUAUGCCGGGGACUCAUAGGAGACUGCCGGGGUCAACUCGGAGGAAGGUGGGGAUGACGUCAAAUCAUCAUGCCCCUUAUGUCUUGGGCUUCACGCAUGCUACAAUGGCCGGUACAAAGGGCUGCGAUACCGUAAGGUGGAGCGAAUCCCAAAAAGCCGGUCUCAGUUCGGAUUGAGGUCUGCAACUCGACCUCAUGAAGUCGGAGUCGCUAGUAAUCGCAGAUCAGCAACGCUGCGGUGAAUACGUUCCCGGGCCUUGUACACACCGCCCGUCAAGUCAUGAAAGUCGGUAACACCCGAAGCCGGUGGCCUAACCCUUGUGGAAGGAGCCGUCGAAGGUGGGAUCGGUGA
rnacentral:rRNA from 1 species